GGGGGUAUAGCUCAGUUGGCUAGAGCACUAGAUUUGCAUUCUAGGGGUCAAGGGUUCGAAUCCCUUUACCUCCACCA
rnacentral:tRNA from 1 species